rnacentral:rRNA from 1 species
GAGUUUGAUCCUGGCUCAGAUUGAACGCUGGCGGCAUGCCUUACACAUGCAAGUCGAACGGCAGCAUGAUCUAGCUUGCUAGAUUGGUGGCGAGUGGCGAACGGGUGAGUAAUACAUCGGGAACGUGCCCUGUAGUGGGGGAUAACUAGUCGAAAGAUUAGCUAAUACCGCAUACGACCUGAGGGUGAAAGUGGGGGACCGCAAGGCCUCAUGCUAUAGGAGCGGCCGAUGUCUGAUUAGCUAGUUGGUGGGGUAAAGGCCCACCAAGGCGACGAUCAGUAGCUGGUCUGAGAGGACGAUCAGCCACACUGGGACUGAGACACGGCCCAGACUCCUACGGGAGGCAGCAGUGGGGAAUUUUGGACAAUGGGCGAAAGCCUGAUCCAGCAAUGCCGCGUGUGUGAAGAAGGCCUCGGUUGUAAG